UAUUCAAUGUAUUCUUGAUGUAAUAUUUUCUUUAGCCAGUUACAUUGUUUUUGCAGCACUUUACGACAGCUUGAACUUGUGUCGCAGCCGUCUCGUCUGAUACUGCAACCCUAAUGCUAGGACAGCAUGUCUUUGGAGUAGUCGCCAGAUGGCGCUACUGAACCAUAUAAAAAGACAAUCUGUAGACAAGUUCCAGGUCAGGUGGGCCUGAGACCCUAGCAACCAGAAUUCAGGCGAUAUUUGGAGUGUUAUUGAUCUGGUGAUUGGCCUUCUGUGUGAAUUUAUGCUGGCUGGUUGAACAGUGCUACGGGGCUGGUUCUGGUUUGAAUGACAGAAGCUGAUUAGCCUGCUGUGUUAGUGUCGCUAGUGUGGUGAUGCUGGAACUGGGUUGGAUAAGAGACUUUUGGCAGAAAGAGGUGAUUUGAGGUCUUCAGGUGAAAGACCCAGACGCCGCAGUCACCACAGGUCCUUGGAAAUGAACAGCUCAUGGAACUCUGAACUAGUUUUGCUGAAACUUGAUUGGCUGUGUGAGUGUUGCUAGUGUCUUGGGCAGUGCUGCUGUUUGUGUUUUGGAUAAGAGACAUUUUGGCGGGAAAUUGUGUAAUGAUUAAAGCCAAGGAUGUGACUGUGAGGUCUUUUUCCUUGUUCCCUGAGAAUACCCCUACCUAGAUAUCCUUCUGACCUGGGCAACUUUGAGACGAGAACCACCAACAUCAGAUGACGGGCUGAGUUUAGCAGCGAGUGCUGGGGAGUCAAAAGAACUAGGAGGAUGCAUACCUACACAUCUCCUAUUAAUCCAGCUCCGCCUCUGCAAAGGAACAUUUUCUUACUGCCGCUAGCUGGGUAGAGAUGGAGAAGGUCUGGGGGAGAAGUUGUAUUUUGCGUGUAUGCACAAAUGUUUUUGGUUUGAAAGAACUAAUUAAGUUUGUCAUUCAGUUUGUGUACAUGGUUAUACUGGUUACAACUUGUAUGUAUUUUUAACCAGCCUUAAGAAAAUAAAUAUUUAUUCCUCA